rnacentral:rRNA from 1 species
UGCCACAGCCAUUUCACCCUGCAGCCCAAGACCAGUUACUCACUGAAGCUAAGCAGGGCAGAGCCUGGUCAGUGGGAGACCACAUGGGAAAACUUGGUUGCUGUUGGAA